UACAGAGGUCUCAAGCGUUGUUCGGAUUCAUUGGGCGUAAAGGGCGCGUAGGCUGCGGGGCAAGUCGGGUGUGAAAUCUCAGAGCUCAACUCUGAAACUGCACUCGAUACUGCUUUGCUUGAGGACUGGAGAGGAGAUUGGAAUUCACGGUGUAGCAGUGAAAUGCGUAGAUAUCGUGAGGAAGACCAGUGGCGAAGGCGGAUCUCUGGACAGUUCCUGACGCUGAGACACGAAGGCCAGGGGAGCAAACGGG
rnacentral:rRNA from 1 species